rnacentral:rRNA from 1 species
UACAGAGGGUGCAAGCGUUAAUCGGAAUUACUGGGCGUAAAGCGUGCGUAGACGGUUACAUAAGUCGGGUGUGAAAGCCCCGGGCUCAACCUGGGAAUUGCAUUCGAGACUGCGUAGCUAGGGUGCGGAAGAGGGAAGCGGAAUUUCCGGUGUAGCGGUGAAAUGCGUAGGUAUCGGAAGGAACACCAGUGGCGAAGGCGACUACCUGGCCUGUUCUUGACGCUGAGGCGCGAAAGCUAGGGGAGCAAACGGG